rnacentral:rRNA from 1 species
UACGUAGGGUGCAAGCGUUGUCCGGAAUUAUUGGGCGUAAAGAGCUUGUAGGCGGUUUGUCGCGUCUGCUGUGAAAUUUCGGGGCUCAACCCCGAACUUGCAGUGGGUACGGGCAGACUAGAGUGUGGUAGGGGAGACUGGAAUUCCUGGUGUAGCGGUGAAAUGCGCAGAUAUCAGGAGGAACACCGAUGGCGAAGGCAGGUCUCUGGGCAUUAACUGACGCUGAGGAGCGAAAGCAUGGGGGAGC